rnacentral:tRNA from 1 species
GCGGGUAUGGCGGAAUUGGCAGACGCGCUAGAUUCAGGUUCUAGUGGAGGCAACUCUGUACAGGUUCAAGUCCUGCUACCCGCACCA